AGUGAACGCUGGCGGUAGGCCUAACACAUGCCAGUCGAACGGCAGCACAGUAAGAGCUUGCUCUUACGGGUGGCGAGUGGCGGACGGGUGAGGAAUACAUCGGAAUCUACUUUUUCGUGGGGGAUAACGUAGGGAAACUUACGCUAAUACCGCAUACGACCUACGGGUGAAAGCAGGGGAUCUUCGCACCUUGCGCGAUUGAAUGAGCCGAUGUCGGAUUAGCUAGUUGGCGGGGUAAAGGCCCACCAAGUCGACGAUCCGUAGCUGGACUGAGAGGAUGAUCAGCCACACUGGAACUGAGACACGGUCCAGACGCCUACGGGAGGCAGCAGUGGGGAAUAUUGGACAAUGGGCGCAAGCCUGAUCCAGCCAUACCGCGUGGGUGAAGAAGGCCUUCGGGUUGUAAAGCCCUUUUGUUGGGAAAGAAAAGCAGCAGGUUAAUACCCCGCUGUUCUGACGGUACCCAAAGAAUAAGCACCGGCUAACUUCGUG
rnacentral:rRNA from 1 species